rnacentral:rRNA from 1 species
AUUGAACGCUGGCGGCAGGCCUAACACAUGCAAGUCGAGCGGAUGAAGGGAGCUUGCUCCUGGAUUCAGCGGCGGACGGGUGAGUAAUGCCUAGGAAUCUGCCUGGUAGUGGGGGAUAACGUCCGGAAACGGGCGCUAAUACCGCAUACGUCCUGAGGGAGAAAGUGGGGGAUCUUCGGACCUCACGCUAUCAGAUGAGCCUAGGUCGGAUUAGCUAGUUGGUGGGGUAAAGGCCUACCAAGGCGACGAUCCGUAACUGGUCUGAGAGGAUGAUCAGUCACACUGGAACUGAGACACGGUCCAGACUCCUACGGGAGGCAGCAGUGGGGAAUAUUGGACAAUGGGCGAAAGCCUGGUCCAGCCAGGCGGCGUGUGUGAAGAAGGUCUUCGGAUUGUAAAGCACGUUAAGUUGGGAGGAAGGGCAGUAAGUUAAUACCUUGCUGUUUUGACGUUACCAACAGAAUAAGCACCGGCGAACUACGU